GACGAACGCUGGCGGCGUGCCUAAUACAUGCAAGUAGAACGCUGAAACUUGGUGCUUGCACCGAGCGGAUGAGUUGCGAACGGGUGAGUAACGCGUAGGUAACCUGCCUGGUAGCGGGGGAUAACUAUUGGAAACGAUAGCUAAUACCGCAUAAGAGUAGAUGUUGCAUGACAUUUGCUUAAAAGGUGCAAUUGCACCACUACCAGAUGGACCUGCGUUGUAUUAGCUAGUUGGUGGGGUAACGGCUCACCAAGGCGACGAUACAUAGCCGACCUGAGAGGGUGAGCGGCCACACUGGGACUGAGACACGGCCCAGACUCCUACGGGAGGCAGCAGGAGGGAAGCUUCGGCAAUGGACGGAAGUCUGACCGAGCAACGCCGCGUGAGUGAAGAAGGUUGUCGGAUCGUAAAGCUCUGUUGUAAGAGAAGAACGAGUGUGAGAGUGGAAAGUUCACACUGUGACGGUAUCUUACCAGAAAGGGACGGCUAACUACGUG
rnacentral:rRNA from 1 species